rnacentral:rRNA from 1 species
GUAGGUGAACCUGCGGAAGGAUCAUUACCGAGUGAGGGCCCUCUGGGUCCAACCUCCCACCCGUGUUUAUUUUACCUUGUUGCUUCGGCGGGCCCGCCUUAACUGGCCGCCGGGGGGCUUACGCCCCCGGGCCCGCGCCCGCCGAAGACACCCUCGAACUCUGUCUGAAGAUUGUAGUCUGAGUGAAAAUAUAAAUUAUUUAAAACUUUCAACAACGGAUCUCUUGGUUCCGGCAUCGAUGAAGAACGCAGCGAAAUGCGAUACGUAAUGUGAAUUGCAAAUUCAGUGAAUCAUCGAGUCUUUGAACGCACAUUGCGCCCCCUGGUAUUCCGGGGGGCAUGCCUGUCCGAGCGUCAUUGCUGCCCUCAAGCACGGCUUGUGUGUUGGGCCCCGUCCUCCGAUCCCGGGGGACGGGCCCGAAAGGCAGCGGCGGCACCGCGUCCGGUCCUCGAGCGUAUGGGGCUUUGUCACCCGCUCUGUAGGCCCGGCCGGCGCUUGCCGAUCAACCCAAAUUUUUAUCCAGGUUGACCUCGGAUCAGGUAGGGAUACCCGCUGAACUUAAGCAUAU